UGCGUAGGUGGUUAAUUAAGUUGGAUGUGAAAUCCCUAGGCUUAACCUAGGAAUUGCGUUUGAAACUGAUUAGCUAGAGUGCAGGAGAGGGAAGUGGAAUUUCCGGUGUAGCGGUGAAAUGCGUAGAUAUCGGAAGGAACACCAGUGGCGAAGGCGACUUCCUGGACUGUUACUGACACUGAGGCACGAAAGCGUGGGGAGCGAACA
rnacentral:rRNA from 1 species